AUUGAAAAGGAAGAGAGAACUGUAGCUGGCUUGUGUUUAGAGCAUGUGCACGUUUUCUUUUUUGUGAUAUAUUCCACCUGUGCAUGAAUUGUAGAUAACUCUGGGAAUUGAGAGAAUUUUAACCGAGCUCUCUUGUUUGGGGGGAUCUUGAGUUGUCUAUGUGUUUUAUUUAACAUUUAUACAUGAUUAGAGAAAGUUAGAAAGUAUUAGAAAGAAAUUAAUACAACUUUCAACAACGGAUCUCUUGGUUCUCGCAUCGAUGAAGAACGCAGCGAAAUGCGAUAAGUAAUGUGAAUUGCAGAAAUCAGUGAAUCAUCGAAUGUUUGAACGCAUCUUGCGCUCCUUGGUAUUCCUUGGAGCAUGCCUGUUUGAGUGUCAUUUUAAUUAUCAGAAUAUAUUCAAGAAAUUGAUUAGAUUUUGGAGUUGUGGGAACUGCGGGGGGUACUGUCGAAAGGAUAGACCCGGCUAUCCUGAAAAGCAUUGGCUGAUGGAAAGGAACCUCUUAUUGGUGUGAUAAAUUAUGAUCAUCAUAAAAAGAGGGCAUUUCAUUGGGGUGUGCGGUCUCUUCUCUUGCUUAUAUAAUUGAGAGAGAGAGAAAAUGAGAAAAUUUGACCUCAAGUCAGGUAGGACUACCCGCUGAACUUAAGCAUAUCAAUAAGCGGAGGAAAAGAAACUAACAAGGAUUUCCCUAGUAACUGCGAGUGAAGCGGGAAAAGCUCAAAUUUAAAAUCUGGCGGUGUAUGCCGUCCGAAUUGUAGCCUAGAGAAGUGUUACCUGCAUUGGACUGUGUAUAAGUCUCCUGGGAUGGAGCGUCAUAGAGGGUGAGAAUCCCGUGUAUGACACAGAUUAUGCGAUGCAUUGUGGUAUGCUCUCAAAGAGUUGAGUUGUUUGGGAAUGCAGCUCUAAAUGGGUGGUAAAUUCCAUCUAAAGCUAAAUAUUGGCGAGAGACCGAUAGCGAACAAGUACCGUGAGGGAAAGAUGAAAAGAACUUUGGAAAGAGAGUUAAACAGUAUGUGAAAUUGUUGAAAGGGAAACGUUUAAAGUCAGUAAUGUUGAUUAGGGGUCAGACGAUCAGAUAAAUGAUGGUUGUAUUUCCUAGUUGAUAGGUCAACAUCAGUUUCGACGGCUAGAGAAAAGCAAUGGGGAAUGUGGCACCUUUUGGUGUGUUAUAGCCCCGUGUUAUAUAGAGCAGUUGAGACUGAGGAGAAAAACAAAGCAGCACGCCUUUUUUUUUGUAAGGGA
rnacentral:rRNA from 1 species